rnacentral:lncRNA from 1 species
GUCCCCGACUCGACGCAAGUGAUCCGAUGGUCGCUCAACUCCACCUUCAGGCUGUCAGGGUCCAAAACAUCUAGGCUCUAGUCCCCGUCGUCCACGACUCCUCGUCCGCCUCCUACGGCCGCUGGCGGGACCAAGUCCUCGCUAGCCGUCAGACGAAUAUAUGCCCACAAGUAUACCCGUUGCUACGUCACGGGUAUAGAAUUUGCCCAUACCCGUUACCCACGAGCGCCAUAUACCCGCGGGCAUACCCGUUUACCCGCCUUUAUGUGGGCACAAGAUACCCGUGGGUAUACCCGCCCAUAUACCCACGCAAAACAUGUAUCCAAUAUAACCACAAUAACAGUAACAAAACAAUAGCACACAAUUCAACAGUCCAACUUAAAUUUAAAUGGAAUAGUUCAAUACAAUAGUUCAAUCCAGACUCCAUAGUUUAACAACCUGCAAAUAAUCAUGGCAAAAAAAUUUAGAUAAGAGAAGUAUAACCAAACAAACAUGAAAAAAAAUUCCAGCCAGCAUAUACACCAACCUCGGCCGGCGGCGGCUGCGGCGUCGGGN